rnacentral:tRNA from 1 species
GCUUAAUUAGUUUAACAAGAAUAAUGAUUUGUGGUGUCAUUGGUAUAUGUAUGAUAUAUUAGGUU